CGGUCCUACAGAUGAAACUGAAAGCUCCCACUGCCCAUGAGAAUACGCAAGAUAAUGGCAACUAUGUGAUGUUCUAUGCCUAGCACGUAUAUUCAGCAACCUGGGUGAUAAUUUUCUGCAGUCCAAGAAGUGUGUCUUGAACGGAACAGAUGAGGCUUCCCAAGAUGGUGAUGGAUUGGCAACUGGAGAAUGUUCGAGGCAUACGAUGGAGGGGACGAUGCCUUACUUGCUGGAUGGACGCUAUAGCCUGUGAUGCAGAGAGCACGGAAGUUCAAGAGCAAGAGAGGUGUUGACAGUGACACAGACGGCUCAGAACUGUUAUGCCUGGAGGGCUGUGGUGUACAGUUGACAUAGAAAUAUAAAGUCGCAGGAGUGAGUGGUCCAAGACUGGAAAACGUUCAAAAACAGCACCUGAGCAGAGUAAAAUUGGAGACUUUGGCCAGGAUCUUGGCAACAAGAUACAACGUGGCCAACUGUUGGCAGCUCAAAACUGGAGCCAAGCAGGUCUGAUCAGG